rnacentral:rRNA from 1 species
UAAAGUGCGUCGUAGUCCGGAUUGGAGUCUGCAACUCGACUCCAUGAAGUCGGAAUCGCUAGUAAUCGUGGAUCAGAAUGCCACGGUGAAUACGUUCCCGGGCCUUGUACACACCGCCCGUCACACCAUGGGAGUGGGUUGCAAAAGAAGUAGGUAGCUUAACCUUCGGGAGGGCGCUUACCACUUUGUGAUUCAUGACUGGGGUGAAGUCGUAACAAGGUAACCGUAGGGGAACCUGCGGUU